rnacentral:rRNA from 1 species
GACGAACGCUGGCGGCGUGCUUAACACAUGCAAGUCGAACGAAGUGGCGAACGGGUGAGUAACGCGUAAGCAACCUGCCCUUCAGGGGGGGACAACAGUGGGAAACGAAGGCUAAUACCGCAUAGGGAAGAAGGGGAUUGGGUCUGAUUAGCUAGUUGGGGGGGUCACGGCCCACCAAGGCGAUGAUCAGUAGCCGUUCUGAGAGGAUGACCGGCCACAUUGGGACUGAGACACGGCCCAGACUCCUACGGGAGGCAGCAGUAGGGAAUCUUCGGCAAUGGACGAAAGUCUGACCGAGCAACGCCGCGUGAGUGAAGAAGGUUUUCGGAUCGUAAAACUCUGUUGUUAGAGAAGCGGUAUCUAACCAGAAAGCCACGGCUAACUACGUGCCAGCAGCCGCGGUAAUAC